GGACACUGUGGAAGGAGACCUGAGCCUCCUGGGGCUGCUGGUCAUGAGGAACCUACUGAAGCCGCAGACAACGCCAGUUAUCCAGGCUCUGCGAAGGACCCGCAUCCGCGCCGUCAUGGUGACAGGGGACAACCUGCAGACAGCGGUGACUGUGGCCCGGGGCUGUGGCAUGGUGGCCCCCCAGGAGCAUCUGAUCAUCGUCCAUGCCACCCACCCUGAGCGGGGUCAGCCUGCCUCUCUCGAGUUCCUGCCGAUGGAGUCCCCCACAGCCGUGAAUGGCGUUAAGGAUCCUGACCAGGCUGCAAGCUACACCGUGGAGCCAGACCCCCGAUCCAGGCACCUGGCCCUCAGCGGGCCCACCUUUGGUAUCAUUGUGAAGCACUUCCCCAAGCUGCUGCCCAAGGUCCUGGUCCAGGGCACUGUCUUUGCCCGCAUGGCCCCUGAGCAGAAGACAGAGCUGGUGUGCGAGCUACAGAAGCUUCAGUACUGCGUGGGCAUGUGCGGAGACGGCGCCAAUGACUGUGGGGCCCUGAAGGCGGCUGAUGUCGGCAUCUCGCUGUCCCAGGCAGAAGCCUCAGUGGUCUCACCCUUCACCUCGAGCAUGGCCAGUAUUGAGUGCGUGCCCAUGGUCAUCAGGGAGGGGCGCUGUUCCCUUGACACUUCGUUCAGCGUCUUCAAGUACAUGGCUCUGUACAGCCUGACCCAGUUUAUCUCCGUCCUGAUCCUCUACACGAUCAACACCAACCUGGGUGACCUGCAGUUCCUGGCCAUCGACCUGGUCAUCACCACCACAGUGGCAGUGCUCAUGAGCCGCACGGGGCCAGCGCUGGUCCUGGGACGGGUGCGGCCACCGGGGGCGCUGCUCAGCGUGCCCGUGCUCAGCAGCCUGCUGCUGCAGGUGGCCCUGGUGACCGGCGUGCAGCUAGGGGGCUACUUCCUGACCCUGGCCCAGCCGUGGUUCGUGCCUCUGAACAGGACAGUGCCCGCACCAGACAACCUGCCCAACUACGAGAACACCGUGGUCUUCUCUCUGUCCAGCUUCCAGUACCUCAUCCUGGCCGCAGCCAUGUCCAAGGGGGCGCCCUUCCGCCGGCCGCUCUACACCAAUGGUGCCACUGCGGGCGCGGGCGGGAGAUGCUGGUGGAGGGAGGGAGGAGCCCUGGGGUGCUGGGGAGGCAGAUGGGAGAGAAGGUGCCGGCUGAGUGGAAGACUGGUGUGCACACGUGUGUCCGUGGGUCCUGGGGGGGCGUGGCUCCUGCCUGAGAGACUCUCCUGCUCCCAGUGCCCUUCCUGGUGGCCCUGGCGCUCCUGAGCUCCAUCCUGGUGGGCCUUGUCCUGGUCCCCGGCCUCCUGCAGGGGCCGCUGGCGCUGAGGAACAUCACUGACACCUGCUUCAAGCUGCUGCUGCUGGGUCUGGUCACCUUCAACUUCGUGGGAGCCUUCAUGCUGGAGAGCGUGCUAGACCAGUGCCUCCCCGCCUGCCUGCGCCGCCUCCGGCCCAAGCGGGCCUCCAAGAAGCGCUUCAAGCAGCUGGAACGAGAGCUGGCCGAGCAGCCCUGGCCGCCGCUGCCCGCCGGCCCCCUGAGGUAGUGCAGGCCCACGGGCACCCCAGACACUGGAACUCCCUGCCUCUGAGCCACCAACUGGACCCCUCUCCAGCGACACCACCGCCACCACCUCCCACAUCCCUGAGGUUGGCGACUGUCUACACUCCUCCCCCGAGACCACCCCCACCCUGGAGAAGCGUUGACUACUGUCCCCUACCUCGGACCAUCCCGCGUAGGGGUGGCAGCCCCCAGCUCCCCUCAGUGCUGCUGUCGGUGUAGCAAAUAAAGUCACGAUAUUUUCCUGG
rnacentral:sRNA from 1 species